GAUGAACGCUGGCGGCGUGCCUAAUACAUGCAAGUCGAGCGAACAGAUGAGGAGCUUGCUCCUCUGACGUUAGCGGCGGACGGGUGAGUAACACGUGGAUAACCUACCUAUAAGACUGGGAUAACUUCGGGAAACCGGAGCUAAUACCGGAUAAUAUAUUGAACCGCAUUGUUCAAUAGUGAAAGACGGUUUUGCUGUCACUUAUAGAUGGAUCCGCGCCGCAUUAGCUAGUUGGUAAGGUAACGGCUUACCAAGGCAACGAUGCGUAGCCGACCUGAGAGGGUGAUCGGCCACACGGUAACUGAGACACGGCCCCGACUCCUACGGGAGGCAGCAGUAGGGAAUCUUCCGCAAAGGGCGAAAGCCUGACGGAGCAACGCCGCGUGAGUGAUGAAGGUCUUCGGAUCGUAAAACUCUGUUAUUAGGGAAGAACAAAUGUGUAAGUAACUAUGCACGUCUUGACGGUACCUAAUCAGAAAGCCACGGCUAACUACGUG
rnacentral:rRNA from 1 species